rnacentral:lncRNA from 1 species
UCAGUUCGAUCCAGAAGUCUCCAGCCAGAGCAGAAAACCCUACCUGCGAAGCCGAAGUGGUUGUGUGUCCAGCAACCGUGCGCAAGCUGACCAGAGACGCAGUUCGUCCAGUCGAACGCCAACCAGCCUGCGGAGCAGAGCACAAUCAAGCCGACGGCACCGAGGUGGAUUAAUUCGCUAAGGGCCUGGUUUUCAAUCUUUGCCACCCCACCGGUGUCCACCGAUAUUUGGGCGCAUUUCGACUGCAUCGGAUUUGCUCAGCUGUAUUGCAUGUGGAGGGAGAAGUGAUUUUGUGCACGUGUCGACAACCGACUGCCUAAUCGCAGUCGGUUUUAUUGCACGAUUUACGAUCCGACUUCUAAGCGGCUGACCAGAGCAGAGCAUUUUUGGAUGUGGUUGCUGACGGUUCC